AUGAACGCUGGCGGCGUGCCUAAUACCUGCAAGUCGAGCGAACAGAUGAGGAGCUUGCUCCUCUGACGUUAGCGGCGGACGGGUGAGUAACACGUGGAUAACCUACCUAUAAGACUGGGAUAACUUCGGGAAACCGGAGCUAAUACCGGAUAAUAUAUUGAACCGCAUGGUUCAAUAGUGAAAGACGGUUUUGCUGUCACUUAUAGAUGGAUCCGCGCCGCAUUAGCUAGUUGGUAAGGUAACGGCUUACCAAGGCAACGAUGCGUAGCCGACCUGAGAGGGUGAUCGGCCACACUGGAACUGAGACACGGUCCAGACUCCUACGGGAGGCAGCAGUAGGGAAUCUUCCGCAAAGGGCGAAAGCCUGACGGAGCAACGCCGCGUGAGUGAUGAAGGUCUUCGGAUCGUAAAACUCUGUUAUUAGGGAAGAACAAAUGUGUAAGUAACUAUGCACGUCUUGACGGUACCUAAUCAGAAAGCCACGGCUAACUACGUG
rnacentral:rRNA from 1 species